CCUACGGGUGGCAGCAGUGGGGAAUAUUGCACAAUGGGGGGAACCCUGAUCCAGCCAUGCCGCGUGAGUGAUGAAGGCCCUAGGGUUGUAAAGCUCUUUUGUGCGGGAAGAUAAUGACGGUACCGCAAGAAUAAGCCCCGGCUAACUUCGUGCCAGCAGCCGCGGUAAUACGAAGGGGGCUAGCGUUGCUCGGAAGCAAUGGGCGUAAAGGGUGCGUAGGCGGGUCUUUAAGUCAGGGGUGAAAUCCUGGAGCUCAACUCCAGAACUGCCUUUGAUACUGAGGAUCUUGAGUUCGGGAGAGGUGAGUGGAACUGCGAGUGUAGAGGUGAAAUGCGUAGAUAUUCGCAAGAACACCAGUGGCGAAGGCGGCUCACUGGCCCGAUACUGACGCUGAGGCACGAAAGCGUGGGGAGCAAACAGGAUUAGAUACCCGUGUAGUC
rnacentral:rRNA from 1 species